AGCUGUUGUUCAGACUAGGUGUAUCACCCUUGGGUGAGUCAUGGGCCUCUAUAAAUACAAUCAAAACACUCACAAUGUGCACCAGUCUCUCAACUUCUUGAUCAGGUAAUGUGAACACAUGAUACACUCAAUGUGUGCAGCAGUCUAAUAUUUAGAAAUUUAAAGGUGUUGAUUUAACAUUGAAAGUGCUGAAGAUUAUGUUCCACUCUUUCUUUCUCAAGUAGUGUUGUGUACAGUGCCUGUCAACCAAACAGAUAAGAUGUCUGAGAAGAAAUGCGUGUGUGCCCGAAGGAGAGUGUGAGGAUCGUGGAAAGGGUUGUGACAAGGGAAAGGGAAAGGAUGGCGACUCUGAUGGAGAAGGGAAGUGCCAUGGAAAGUCGGGUGAACGUGGGGGACACGGACACGGAAGGGGAGGAGGCCCGGACUGUGGAGAGCGUGGUGGAAAGGGUGGUCGUGGGGGAAAGAACAACUAAUGACUUUGUUUUGUCUGAAGUAAAAUAAUAUAUAUAUAUAUAUAUAUAUAUAUAUAUAUAUAUAUAUAUAUAUAUAUAUAUAUAUAAAAGAGACUAACCCUAAACAAGCGUAUCUCCAAUUGUAAUCCAUUGCUUCAUUGUAUUCAAUAAAACAAUUUGACCCAAA
ensembl:lncRNA